UACGUCGACUAAAGUUCUAGGUAGAAUAAUGAUGAUGACAAUUUUUUACCUAUAUGUCUUGACCAAGUCUCGUGCCAGCAGUCGCGGUAAUACGUGGAAGACUAGUGUUAUUCAUCUUUWAUAGGUUUAAAGGGUACCUAGACGGUAUUUCUAGCCCAAAACAGGGUACGGAUUUACUAGAGUUUUAUGUGAGGAGGGGAGUACUCAUGGAGUAGAGAUGAAAUUUUGUGAUACUAUGAGGAAACUGGUGGCGGCGAAAGCAACCUUCUAUGUAUAAACUGACGUUGAGGGACGAAGGCUUGGGUAGCAAAUAGGAUUAGAUACCCUAGUAGUCCAAGCAGACAAUUCUGAAUGCCAUAGAUUAGAUUCUUUUUGGUCUAUAAAUGAAAGUGUAAGCAUUCCACCUUAGGAGUAAUGUGGCAACACAGGAACUGAAAUCAUUAGACCGUUUCUGAAACCAGUAGUGAAGUAUGUUGUUUAAUUUGACGGUCCACAAAAAACCUCACCACAACUUGAAUAUUAUUAAAUUAAUACMAGCGUUGCACGGCUGUCUUCAGUUAAUGUCGUGAGAUUUUGGUUAACUCCAUUAAUUAACGUAAACCCUUACUUUAUUUAUUUUUUUUUUAUAAAGUAGAUCGC
rnacentral:rRNA from 1 species